CAGGCUCAUCAGAAUUCAACUGAAAUAGGAAGUUAGUGGAGAGUAAUUCAAGGCAGAUUUAAGCAUAUCCGUCUGGAUCCCUGUGCUUCCACUCCACUGUAAUUGAUGGGGAAAUGUUAAUUAUGUUCCCAUAUAAUAACAAGACCUUGAAAAUGAAGUCAUCUUAAAAUCUCACACGAGCUAUGCUCUCUCCAGGAGUAUCAGUUUAGUAAUUUCUUGGGGGAAUGUGGCCACACAAAACUCACAGCACGAGCACGUCCGUGAACUUUGUUGGCUGUCAGGUUGUAGACUUCAUGUUUUGGCUAUCCUCUGAACACUUCUUUUGAAUUCCCAGGCUUGAGCUCGGUGACGGGAGCUCACAGACGCUGUCUAAUCGAGAGGGAAUGACAAACAGCCAGAUGGAUAAAGCUACAGAUUCAUGGAAUGACUGAAUCCUGUGGGCUUAAGAAUGCAGUCAUCUCUAAUCUGGAAUUUCACAUGAAUUUGCAUCAUAUUCAGCAUACAUUUUCAUCAGCCUUUUGCAAACACAAAAGCAAGAAAAGGAGACAACGCUUCUUUUGGUGCAUCCAUGAAAAAAAGUGUCUUCUUACAUUGCUACACGGCGGAAUCUGAGGAGAUGAGACGGCUUUCGUUCUGGCAGACCAUAUGCAUCUAUGAAUAUGCAUGAAAAUCUGUCAGCUGGUUAACAAGAAGGACAUAUAUGCAAGACAGGAAGCCAUAGGUCAGUAAAUUGAGGUAUGGAAAUUGCUAACCUCUGUCUCUAUGAGGACGUAUAUUCUAUGAAACUGUGGACUGAUUCCUAGCAGGGAACCUGUCAAUAUUUUUAGACUGGUUUAGCUGUAAUAGGACCGAUUCCUAGCAGGGAACCUGUCAAUAUUUUUUAGACUUGUUUAGCUGGAAUAGGCCACAUAUGUUUUAUAUUACCAUGUAAAAUCACAGAAGUUGAAGCUGAUGUUUAAUCUGAGACAAAAUUUUAUUUUCUUAAUUAAUGAAAUAUCCUUUACUAAACCCAUUGUGACAUAAUAUGUUGAAAAGCGGUCAUAAAUAAUCAAAAUUAUAAUCUAACAUUCUUGAAAUGUUUAACAUCUAGCAUUCAUUUUUAAUAUCUGGGGACAGGACAUCUGUUCCAAAUGUGUUUCAGAAAAAGUACUCCUUCCUUCCUUUUUUUCUUAGAGGUUCAAAUUUUAAAAUAGCACACAAAGCUUUGUAAACAUAGGUAUUGAAUCUCUUGAAAAAAUAAAUAAUUCAUUUGGUAGUACCA
ensembl:lncRNA